rnacentral:rRNA from 1 species
CAGCCGCCGCGGGAAUACGGAGGGGGCUAGCGUUGUUCGGGAUUACUGGGCGUAAAGCGCACGUAGGCGGUUAUUCAAGUCAGAGGUGAAAGCCCGGGGCUCAACCCCGGAACUGCCUUUGAAACUAGAUGACUAGAAUCUUGGAGAGGCGAGUGGAAUUCCGAGUGUAGAGGUGAAAUUCGUAGAUAUUCGGAAGAACACCAGUGGCGAAGGCGACUCGCUGGACAGGUAUUGACGCUGAGGUGCGAAAGCGUGGGGAGCAAACAGGAUUAGAUACCCCUGUAGUCCCUGUCUCUUAUAA